ensembl:lncRNA
GCAACCAUCUUGACUUGGACUCAACCACUGCACUGUCGCCUGAGGCUGCCCAGUGUAGUCCUCCACGACGGCCGUCCAUAGAGCAAGGAAGCUCUGCCCUUCGUGCGUGAGAGCUUUCGAUGGUUAUGUGUGUGCAGAGCCACGAUUCUGCCUGCGACAAUCCGUGAGGCCUCCCCUCUCCCUCCGCCGCCAUGUUUCCGCGGACGCCUCUUCAGGCGCGUCACCCCCACCUGGGCUGACCCCGCCAGGACUUCUCCGCGGUUUGCGGGGCUCUGGGGGGCGCGCGCAGCCAGCAUCCGCGGCGCUCUCCGUGCUCUUGGGGACUCCCGGGCGCCGCCCACCGUCGUGUGACUCCGGCUAAGCGUCAGGGAGCUGAGCCCGAUCCCACACGCUAGGAUAAAAUAGCGAAGGAAAACGGGGCCGAAGUGGAGUACAGCGAUGUAUCAUCAUCCCUUCUCUGUCCCCUCGGGCGCGACUGAGUCUGACCACGUUCUCGGCCCCUUCGAAAACCUCGUCCAUAAAAGCUUAGUCUCAGCGUCCCUGGUCCCUAGUCCCCAGCUUCAGCCACCCACCCCAUCCGACACUGGUGUGAAGAGAAGGGAGUGCAUCCUGAGACCUGGACUUGUAGAUGGUGAAAAUGGAAUGAAUAAAUGGAAGAAGCUGUAAGCAAUGAAGGCAACCCAAACAAAAGAGUCUUCUCAGGACAGUGUUUAUCAACGUUUUAACUACAACCCAUAUGAACAGAAGCCUCGCAAGCCUCAUCCUAGGCCUGCCUGCUUCCUUCUCCAGAAGAGCAGGAAGGACAUUCCGUAAGCAGCCCAGGAAUGCAUUAAACAACUCUUCCCUGGGGCCUCAACUCCAGAAAUAUGUGGCUGUUGACAGCUCUUCCCCUUGCCUUUGGCCUCUGGCCUGAGCAUGUGGAACAAACACCGCCGAGUGUGGAUGCCCCUCUCUUUGCAUUUGCCUAAUUGUCCUAUGUCUUUAAAGAUGUCACCAUCAUUUAGAUUGGUGUUUCUGGUGUCCAUCUCCACUUCCAAGAGGGUUUACCCCAG